CCCCACGCCGGUGCGCCGCGGGCCUCUGGUCCGCUGCCGUGUUCGGCCCCGCCCGUCACGUCUAGCUGGGGCUCGCCCGGCGCCUUCCUGGACGCAGACGUAUGAGUCCCAACUCCACCCAGUCCGGCCUGGCCUCUGUCCCCGGGUGACCGCGGAAUGGGGGGGCGGGAGCUAGCGAGCAGGCCCUCAAGCGCGUCUGGCCGCCUCCUUUGUCUUGAUGCCCACGUCUGGUUAGGACCCCUGCUGUCCAUUUUAUUAAAGGAGCUGUAGAAAGCGGCCUGGGGCCCAGCGACCUGCCCAGGGCGGACGAGGAGGCGCGACUGGCCCGAUGCCGCAGGCUCUCUGCCCAGUGUGCUCAGGUGGGAGGGCGGGGACAUGAAUCGAGCCACAGAGUGCCCUGGGCACGGACCCCCCGCCCCCCCCGGCCCCGGGCCCCGAGCCCCGAGCCCCGAGCCCGGCCACCGAAGCCCGUGCCACUCGCCAGCUCCUGCGAGACGAGCCUUUCGAGCGCAGCUCAGGCAUUUGGUUCAGGGUCCUACUGCCGGAGUCGUCUGAGGCCUCCAUCCGUCUGUCGUCACGAAAAAGGUUUUGGGGGGACUAAUAAGCACUUCCUGAAUGCACAUUUGCUCCACGCCCCUGCUGUAGGGAGAGGGUCUGCAGACACUUCAACAAAUAGAAUCCUAGGACCUUACCUGUGAGUACAAGAGCUGGAAUCUUCCCACCAACUUCUUAAAAUUCAAUCCUAUACUUGGUCCAUUUAGCUUAGACUGGAAAUUUCCCAAGGCAGUUUGUUUUGCAAUCUUUUGCAUGAUUUUAGCUCUGUAUAGUUUAGUGAAUGUUUAUGGUACUGAAUAAAACAGUCUAAAAACGUUGGGUA
rnacentral:lncRNA from 1 species